rnacentral:rRNA from 1 species
UACGAAGGGGGCUAGCGUUGCUCGGAAUCACUGGGCGUAAAGCGCACGUAGGCGGAUCGUUAAGUCAGGGGUGAAAUCCUGGAGCUCAACUCCAGAACUGCCUUUGAUACUGGCGACCUUGAGUUCGGGGGAGGUGAGUGGAACUGCGAGUGUAGAGGUGAAAUUCGUAGAUAUUCGCAAGAACACCAGUGGCGAAGGCGGCUCACUGGCCCGAUACUGACGCUGAGGCACGAAAGCGUGGGGAGCAAACAGG